rnacentral:tRNA from 1 species
GGGUGUAACUAAAUUUCAAAUGAAUCAGUUUCUCGUCGAUAAAAGUAAGAGUGAGCAACGGCCUUUUAAGCCGUGGGUCGCAGGUUCGAUCCCUGCUGCACUCA